rnacentral:misc_RNA from 1 species
ACACCUCAACUCUUCAUGGUUUUCCGUGAUGAGCUUGGACUUUGGGGGUUUUGCUGGCCUAUGGUCAGCUCCUCUAAAAUGAAUCAGCUUGCCAGUGUUUGGUGGGCAUCACAGGUGUGAUAACUAUCUACGCUUGUGGUUUUCCCACCAGGUAACCUUCAGCAGUGGAGGUUCACUGGAGCUCACAGAUGUCUCUCCUCAGUGAGGACAGCCCUUUGAAU